rnacentral:rRNA from 1 species
AGUGAACGCUGGCGGUAGGCCUAACACAUGCAAGUCGAACGGCAGCACAGUAAGAGCUUGCUCUUACGGGUGGCGAGUGGCGGACGGGUGAGGAAUACAUCGGAAUCUACUUUUUCGUGGGGGAUAACGUAGGGAAACUUACGCUAAUACCGCAUACGACCUACGGGUGAAAGCAGGGGAUCUUCGGACCUUGCGCGAUUGAAUGAGCCGAUGUCGGACUAGCUAGUUGGCGGGGUAAAGGCCCACCAAGGCGACGAUCCGUAGCUGGUCUGAGAGGAUGAUCAGCCACACUGGAACUGAGACACGGUCCAGACUCCUACGGGAGGCAGCAGUGGGGAAUAUUGGACAAUGGGCGCAAGCCUGAUCCAGCCAUACCGCGUGGGUGAAGAAGGCCUUCGGGUUGUAAAGCCCUUUUGUUGGGAAAGAAAAGCAGCAGGUUAAUACCCCGCUGUUCUGACGGUACCCAAAGAAUAAGCACCGGCUAACUUCGAG